CCUAGCAAAAGAAAACUCAAAAGGGGGGGGGGGGGGAUUUCGCAGGGGUAGUACACUACACAAUGAUUAACAUGCGUCCACUCUCACAAACACACGCGUCCGCUUCUCGUUCGCCUUCUCCUGGUUCUCCUCUCGGGCCGUUCGUUCGCCCAUGUUCGCGCGAUGUUUGCAACACGCGUGCAAUCCGCUGACGGGGGUAUCACCACCAUCAUCAGCCCUUGUGUGUGUGUGUGUGCACCCCCCCAACCCAUGCUCUCGCGCACUCGACACACUAUAGGACCGAUUGGCACGAACAAAUAACUCUGUGGCCACACGCAAAACUCAAGUGCGAAACGAUCGCGCAAAAAAAAGGCACACAUACACAUACACAUCCUAUGCUCGUUGGUAUUUGGCGUGUGUGUGUGUGUGGGAAGGAGGUGGUAUGUUUAUUUUGCAUUUCGUUUUCGUUUCAGCUUCCAGCGGAGAUUCCCCACAAUGCAGCCUAGACGAGAGAUCAUGGAGGCGAGGACCACAUCAGACAAGACAUCCUUCUUGCGGUCUACCAUCGGGCUCCAGUAAUAAGCUCCUAGCUGGACCAUCUCUGCUACUGUAACCUACGAGAACACCGGUGACCUCCGUACACGAUCAAUUUGAUCUCCGGUGGAGAUCAUCAUCGGCCUUGCCUUGUGAUUCAUUUGCAGUGCGAACUCUCUCAAGGGCGAGUCGUUGCUAAUCGUCGGGUGGGUCUGAGGAAUGCUGACACCUGAGAACACCAGCUCCUCCAGACUGCCAUGACGCAGCAGCAGCAGCAUGGGAGGAGUUGAUGGAAAGGUGUACGGGCGCCAUGACCUUAUCAUUUGCGCGAGCACGGCCGAGCGAGUGUUGCCUGUGUACACCAACCGGCGAUACUGAUAAGAUACGCAACCGUCGUCCGUGCGCGUGUAGCCGAGCUGAGCGAAGCUGGCUGAUCACGAUAAAUGAAGGAAGUCCAAACUCAUCGCCCACCGCGAGACCGUACCCGUAGGGUGCCAUGACCGAUGAGGCCCGGUGUCAAGGCUGGAGAGUUCCCGCCCGCCCGCCGGAGCAUUCUUAUCCCUCCCGCAUCCCGGAAGUGUGUUCAUGCGAGUGUGGGGGAAUAAAAAACAGAUUUGGCCAGUCAUGCUCGUUACCUUUUUUGGUUGAUUUGUGUACGAGAUGUGUCCCUUACUGUGUGGAGAUGUUCGUAUGGAGAUGGUGUACCUUUUGUCCACUGGUAAUAAAGACCUCCUUCUUUUUUCCAGGGAGAAA